rnacentral:lncRNA from 1 species
CGCUGGUCUCUGGAAAGGCUGGUCUGAGGGUGAGGGGCUGGGGAAGAGGGGUUGCUUGCUGAGUAACCAUGGCAACUCUGCAGCCUCAGGGCACCCGGGUGCUCACACCCAUUCCCCCUAGAAUACCCAGAAAAGGGCGAUCUCUGCCUUGACUCAGACUGGGAAACUGAGGUUCAUGAACACCUGUCACUUCCUUCUGCCUACUCUGGGUUACAGUCUUGGAAUAAAAACCCACACUUGCAGCAAGAGCCGCAAGUCCUAGUCACCUCGUGUGUCUGCCCCAGCCCAGGCCUGGCAAGGUGGCAGGAAAGGCACCAGACCUGGGGGAAGAGCAUGUUCAAAGGCUCCAAGAACAAGGCUGUGACCCAAGACUGACCCAGAGUGACAAUGACAUGAAAAUCAAGGUGCUGGAGGGCAGAGACUCUGCAGUUAACAGUAUGCAAGGCUCUUACAGAGACUCUGAGUUCAGAGUCCCAGCACUCUUGCUGGGCUGCUCACAACCGCCUGAGACUGGAGCUCUGGCCUUCACAUACCUGCCUCACAGACUGUAAAAAUAAAGUCAACUGAGGGCUAGAGAGAUGGCUCA